rnacentral:lncRNA from 1 species
GUAGGUGUGUGGGCAGAGUUGGGGGUCGGGUGAGAAGGCCAGGCUGGUACAAUGGGUGCAUUGACUCCUGGUUAAAAAUUGCCAGGUUGAAGCCUUCUUCCUCUAAUUACACAAAUUAAUUAUUUACUGCUCAGGUUGCUGUGUCCAAAAAUAGCACUUUUGAUUUGGUGAUGAAGUUGGAGAAUAACCCACCCCUGACACAGAAAAGCAGUAAAAACUGGUGCACCAGUCUCUGUGGGGACAAGGAGGACCAGAGGUGGAAUUGGUGCCCAGCAGUGGGGGUAUAAGCAUUUAAAUCCCAGGAGGAACGAGUUCACGUUUGGUCAAGAUGGUGCCCAUUAUUGUCUGAACUCAGUUUAUUACUGCUUCUUGUCACCCACUUUUACAUCAGUAUACAGAGAGGCAUAAACCGUCGGCCCCAAAAGGGACCUUGGAAGAGGGAAGAGCUGGGGUCCUCCCCUCCACAUACGUGCUCUGUCUUUACAGAAGGGGCAACUGAAGCCCACCGAAUUCUCUGCUUCAGAUCACACAGCCACUCUGGGCUGCUUAGAGUCCAAGCCUCUUGAGUCCCGAGCUUACCCCAAGUAUGACUUUAGAUAAAUGACUUCCUGGGUCUGGGCCUCAGUUUCUCUAUCUUUGACAAUAGCUGGGUCACUGGGUGGGACAGGAAACUCCUUGUGUUCUCCCCAGUUCUGACCUUGAGCAACUCUCUAGUGUUUGGGAGCAGCUCCCUUUUGUGUCCUGGGCUGCUGUGGGCAUCCGGGUAUAAAAGUCACUGCAUGCAUAUUUGCAAUAUACAAGGAGUUUGUCUAUGCCCAGAGCAAGGGCACGGUUUCUCAGAUAGGCUUGAAGAAAUCCAUUGGCAUCUGGACCAUUCUUCCUCCCCACGGCGUCAUUCUCCACAGAGGAGAAGCCGGGGCCUAGAAUAAUAAAGACGGAAGGUGGUGGGAGGGGCUAGCUGGCUGGGUGGGGCCGGGAUUGGCAUUUGGAGGGGGAGCUGAGGAAGGAGGGUCUCAACCUCUACAGCAAGGCACCUUCCCUGCCAGACGUGGAGCUGAGGCUGGAAUUUGUUGGCAUUGCAACUUUUCACGUCCCUCCUGCUCCAGCCCAGGGACUGAAUUGUGAUUUCCUUAUUUUAGAUUCUGUGACAGCAGGCCACCACCCCCACCCUUCCUCCUGGAGCUUUGUGUCCCCUCUUCUUGGGAGAGGACACACACAGGGCAUCAGAGCACUUGCUCAGGUCUUCCCCUGGGGCCACCAGGAUGGAAGGCCUGCAAGGUGGAUGACCCCUGUCCUCUUCCUCCUCUUCUUUCCCAUCUCUUGUCUUAACUGGAAAAUUCUAAAGAGGUGGGGGCUUUUCCGAGUUGCACGGUGGUGAGACAGGGAUAGGUCUUGUAAGCUCAGGGGGAUGAGGAGGCUAGCAGAGGAGGAAGGGUUUCCAGAUUGCCUUGGGAAGUAUGGCCAGGGAUAUGAAUUGUGGUGGAGGAAGUGGGAAGGGAUGGGAAACCAGUUCAUCUUUGGGCUUCUGGAAAUCAGAGUCCCUGACCAGAUAACCCACUUCUUAAAGCCUCACCCCAAACCCUGUUUUGGGAGAGAGAAAGAAAAAAAAAAACAAAACCAAAAAACCCAAAGGCCAGCAGGCCCGGGUUCUGAUUCUGUCCCAUUGUGACUUUGGAGUUGUAUGUUUGGAGGCAAUUCAGGAGGCCUUCUGCUGAUUGGUCAUUAAUCCGGUGAGUUAUUGUCUGCUAAGCAGAGGUCACUGGGAGAGAGGCAUCCAAUCUGUCAGGAGAGACCUGUGCAGGCCCUUGCAGCGGGCUGGGCCCCAUCCCUCUCUGGCCUGUAUCUCCCUUCCUUCCCCAGCUGCCCCCACCCCAUCCCACCCCACUCCAAGCUAUCCCAGACCCGCUUGCUUCUCUCCCUCUGGCCUUGCCCACACUGCCCACCUUUGUCUCCACCACCUUAGCCCGGGUGGGGUUUGCCAGGCCGGCGACUGAGCUUCCAGAUGAGGCAGGACCCCUGAUUUACACGGGUUCCUAGGCCAACAAGGCACCGCCUGCCGCCGACUCCAGACUUGGCUCUCGGCACUGCCAACCCCUCUUCACUCUUCAGCGCGUGGGCGAGGCCGCUGCCGAGCACCCCCCCCCCAGCAGCAGAUGUUGCAAACCCUUGCCGCUGCCCUGUUUUGUCCUGACUUCUUUUCGAGCCCCCCACGCCUGGAGUGAGAGGAGAGUUCAGCUCGGAUGUUUCUUUUCCAAUCUUGGCGGCCUUUUUCUUCUUUCCAUCUCGCUUCUACUGAGCCCAGUCUACACCGGCCUCAGCUGGGCGCCGAAUCUUCUCUUUCCCUCUGCCCCUUUGUUGCCUCUCGCUCGGGGAUCUUACCGAGGUGGGAGCUGGGGAUCCGCAUACCGAGAGCGGUCUUCAGUAGCAGUUACCAUCUACAACCCCUAGCUUCGAAAGCUUUAUUAAUAUUGAAAAGAGAUGGGGAUUCAGGUGUGUGUGAGAACUUUUUGCGACUCUGCAAAAGCCACAAAGUUGGGCAGUGAAGCUGGAAGAGUGUGGGACCCGGACCAGAAAGAAAGAGAUGCUAAACGCCUUGCUCCCCGACUCCCAGGGCCCAGCUUUUCAGGGAGCACUGUGGCCCAGGCGAAUUUGGGGCUGGCUGACCCGGGGUUGGGCUGAGGCUGGGGGUGGGAUGAGGGGGCAGGAUCCUUGGUUGUCCCAAAGCUGAUUUCAGAAAUCAAAUCUAUUUUAAAGAAGCCGGCGAGGUUAUCCUUAUUGAGAGGAGAAUUUUCGUUAGCUCUUCGAAGGUUUUUUGGGGCAAAGAGGGAAACAGAGGUGAUCCCCCCAAAAAAGCUUGAAGGGUGGGCAGCCAGUGAUUGCUCCAGGGGUUUUAAGCAACCCCCUCUUACUGGGUGCAGAUUAGGAGUGGGGGAGGGGAGUGCCAGAGCAAGUGCUCUAGCUGGGCGGGGGGGGGGGGUGAAUCCGGGAGAAAAGGAUGUCUAUGAAGGGGGACAGUUUCUCUCAUUUUUACCUUUAUUAUUAAUUUCUGCCCUUAUUAGAUUACACUAAGGUCUCUGUGUCUUAGUCGUUCGCUCCGUUUGUCUUUUUCAAUUCCUCUCUCUCAUGGUAAGUUGCCUAAGUUUCCCUUCUUAAAUCCAGGUCUCUACUCUGCCUUUAAAUCACAACUUCACUGUCGGGGUGACAAAUACCUCUCUUCUCCUUUUCCAGACCUCAAAGUCUUUCCUCAGACCCCUCCAGUGUUUCUCACCCCCAGGUCCCCACCUAGACUCCUCAUUGCCCCUGCUUUGUCCCAUGAAGUGUGGAAGGUCCCUAACCAGCAGCAACACCUCAAAACGAAAUGGGUGGCCUGGGAUGCAGGUUCUACCCUUUACCCCUACCCCCCCCAGCCCCAAACAGGGGUAAUAGGCCAGAAAGGAAUUAAAAAAAAAAAAAAAGCAAGAAAGAAACCAAACUGGAAUAGAAUUGCCUCCUACACAUUUCAAAUGGGCUCUGAUCUCAGAAACCCCACUCCAUUUCCUCCCACAUUUGGAGGUGUAUUUCCUCUGGAAUUUUCCUCCAGGUUAGCUUUUUUUUCCCCCCUCAGCCUUCCUUUUUGCUUCCACCCCACUGUACCCCACCUCCCUGUGUAGCCAGAGGGGACCACAAGAGUUGAGGCUCAGAGAGGGGAGGGGUCCACUACUGUCUCUGGAAAGCUCCUCUACCCUCAGCAGCUCAGCUGCAGGCUGAGCCUCCUGCAGGCCCGCAGCGGGCAGGGUGCCCUCUGGGCUCUCUUUUUAUCCCUUGGGGCAAAACCGUGCAGUCCCACAAGUGACAAGUCCUCCUCUUCUCUUAAUUUCACAGUGACCCUAGCCAGUGGUAGCAACAGUUAGGAGAGCUGGAGGCUCUGGGGUACAGCCUUGACUAUUUAAUCUGGGGGACAGAAAGACCCAAAGCGCUGUUUCCCUGAAGCUCUGUGGGGGAGUCCCUGACCCACCAGGCCCAAAGCUGCGGAGAGUUAAAUGCAGCAGUUCUCUAACCAGGGUCCACACACUCAGGCAGUCCUAACUGCUCUCUGAGGGUCCUGGCUUGAGCCCCAGCAUGGGGUCUGGCUUGGGCAUUUUCUUUUCUUGACACUACGAAUACACUCAGAAAAAUGGCUUCCACCUCCCAUCUUCAUCUCCCCACCAUGCUUCCCUCAGCCACCAACUGUCUAGGCAGGCGGUCUGAUCCUAGGGACAUCAGAGUUAGAGGCCCCGCAUGAGGUUCCUUGCCAGAGGGUCCAGAGGUCUGGGUUUCCCCCCUCCACGCUUGUUCAGCAGGGGCUCCAGGAAACUGGCUGCUCCAGCCCAGGGAGCCUGACUUAGUGGACCUGGAAGAAGUGGAGGCUGGAGGAGGUCAGGGACCACUCCCUGUGAAGAAUGAGACCCUUUCUCAGCCCAAAGCCAAGCCUGUGAGUGGGGAGCUAUAGGGUGGAAAGGAAGCUUUGCAAGACACAGCCACCCUUUCCUGGGGGGGAGACAAUAGCUGGAACCAUUUCUCACCUUUGUUCUCCCAGUCCCUUCUCUCCUGGUGCAUCCAGAUGGGAGAAGGUGAAAGCCAAGGAUUCUAACCAAGAGGUCACAGGGUAGUUGCUGGUUCUGUCUACACGAAGUUAAGAGAAGUUUUCCAAGCUGCCUUUGUAGGAAGGAGCGCCUGUCGGCCUUCUAUUUUAUUCCCUAAGCCCCGAGUCAGCAGUUCCGCAGAGUUGCAAACCCGCCUGCUUUUGGAAAAGUCCUGGUGUUCUUUUUGUCUUUUGCCUCCACUGGGAAUGGCUCUUCCCCACCCUGCCCCCAAAUCUGCAGACAUCUACAUUCUUGCCUCUGUCCUUCCUCCUACAGGCCUCCUUGCCCUUUUCAGACACUCCCUAAAAAAAAUUGAGAUUUUGUAGUCUUCCUCACUUGUGGCAAGAGUCCUAAAUCUUGCAGAGCUAAGAGAAACAAACAGGUUUGUAGUAGUAGUAGUAGCAGUAAUAAUAACAACAACACUCCCCCAUCUCUUCUGCCAGUGCAUUUAAAAUUAAGCCAGUUUGCUGUUCUUCUCAUCUUCUUAGAAGUACAAAUGUCCUUAUCACCUCUUAGCCCCUUCUGCCUAUCCGGAGGUGAGAAUCAUAGCACAAACUUCUUCGUGAAGUUCUUACGGCCUCUUUAUUGCCAGCGGUGUCUGGAACUCAAGCUAAACACAGGGUCCUUCUUUUGUCACCCCCUCCUCCCUCUCCUCCCCCAAUGAGAUGGUUUGGAUUUUUGAAAUAAUCACUCACCGCUUGUUGUCUGUUCUCAAAAAUUGGGGGGGGAAGCUGUGAAAAAACAAAACAAAACAAAAUAAAAGGUGCGGCUUACCCCCCUCCUACAGGUUGGAAAUUGGGCCGGGAGAUUUGCCGGGAAAAGGGAGGAAUAGAGAGGGUGUAGGGAGAGAAGAAACAGAGCCUGGACGGUUCAGAAGAAGCGAGCCAGAGAGGGAGGGCGGGAGACCCAGCCUCAGUCCCUCAGGAGUGAAACU